rnacentral:rRNA from 1 species
UACGGAAGGCAGCAGUGGGGAAUAUUGCACAAUGGGCGAAAGCCUGAUGCAACUAUGCCGCGUGUAUGAAGAAGGCCUUAGGGUUGUAAAGUACUUUCAUCGGGGAGGAAAAAACAAAACUAAUAAUUUUAUUUCUUGACGUUACCCGAAAAAGAAGCACCGGCUAACUCCGUGCCAGCAGCCGCGGUAAUACGGAGGGUGCUAGCGUUAAUCAGAAUUACUGGGCGUAAAGAGCACGUAGGUGGUUUUUUUAAGUCAGAUGUGAAAUCCCUGGGCUUAACCUAGGAACUGCAUUUUGAAACUGAAAUACUAGAGUAUCGUAGAGGGAGGUAGAAUUCUAGGUGUAGCGGUGAAAUGCGUAGAUAUCUGGAGGAAUACCUGUGGCGAAAGCGGCCUCCUAAACGAAUACUGACACUGAGGGUGCGAAAGCGUGGGGAGCAAACAGGGAUUAGAUACC